rnacentral:piRNA from 1 species
UUCUCAUUCAAACGGCCACAGAUUCAUAUU